GUGUCAGGCCCCCCAGGGUUGUGCGGAGGUGUGCCAGCCCCCCAGGGGUGUGGGGAGGUGUGCCAGCCCCCCCAUGGGUGUGGGGAGGUGUGCCAGACCCCCCAGGGGUGUGUGGAGGUGUGCCGGGCCCCCAGGGUUGUGUGGAGGUGUGCCGGGCCCCCAGUGGCGUGGGGAGGUGUGCCAGGGCCCCCAGUGGUGUGGGGAGGUGUGCCAGCCCCACCAGGGGUGUGUGGAGGUGUGCCAGCCCCCCCAGGGGGUGUGUGGAGGUGUGCCGGGCCCCCAGGGGUGUGGGGAGGUGUGCCAACACCCCCAGGGGUGUGCGGAGGUGUGCCAGCCCCCCCAGGGGUGUAGGGAGGUGUGCCAGCC